rnacentral:sRNA from 1 species
UGCAUCACUGGUUGCGGAUGGCUAUCCA